AUCACUUCUCGAUGUUUUAGCUGAGAUCAUUUCUGUUCUUGUCAGCUUUAAUAUCUGAUCCAUCCAUGAAUUAGGGACUAAAUAUUAUUCUGAAUUUUGCAGGAAGAAGUUGGAUUAGGAGCUUGAUCAACCAACUUCGCAUAUCAACCUGGUAUUGCAGUGUUUCUGAGAAUCGUGCACCCCUC